rnacentral:lncRNA from 1 species
GAGGCCCAGAGAGGUUCUGGAGCUUGCCCAGGUCACAUCGCGAGUCAAUGGGGAAGGGCUGACAACAGCACUCAUGCUCGCGGUGUCCUGAGGCCCCAUCCGCUGCACCACCCAGCCUCCUCCCUUUGGCUUUCAGCCCAGCUUCCCCGUGCGUGGGAUCUGGAAAGAAGUAUCCCACUUCAGUCUACACAGCAAUGUUCCAUUGGAUCCUAUCACUCAGCCAUCUCCUUCAUCCCCCUUUCCACCCCCUCGUCUAGGUUUCCGAGAGGGAGUAGCAGGGGUGUGGCGCCCGUUUCCCCUCCCGACAGCCCCCAGACCCCCGGCCCCAUUACAGCACGUGGGCGGCGAUCCAGCAGGAGGAGGCGCAGAUCCACAGGCCGAAGGAGAUGCAGACGCGGUGGCGGGCGAAGCAGCGGUCCAGGUAGUCCCAGUCCCAGAGCGCGGGCGCGGGGCUGGGCGCCUCCCCCAUGGCGCGGCUGGGCGCUCUCCGCGGGGCCGGUGACCUGGGCGCAGCCUCCCUCGCCGCGGGCAGCCCCGAGCGCCGCCUUCUCUGGGUUCCGUUCCGCCGCGGCGGCUCCGGCCGAGCACACCGACCGCGGGCAGAGAAAAGCGCGCUCCCGGACGCGGGCGGCGGCGGCGAAGGCGCCGGAGAAAAGUUUCCGGGACCGCGCGCUCCCCACCCCUUGCGCUAUUGUCGGGGGUCGGCGGGGCGGAGGCCGCCCCCCAGCGGCGGGAGCUGGGAGCUUCCCGGGCACAAAGACGGCGGCCCCCGCCCCCCGGCCCGCGGCGGCGCCCGCUCCCCGCCGACCUCUUCGCGGUCACCCACCUCCAACAUCCUGGCCGGAGCGGGGCGGGCGGCUGGGCUCGUGGAGGGCCGAGUCCCUGCCGGUCGCUGUAAGGCACGGCGUCCCUUCCUGCAUAUUCCGCACAUUUCCUGAGCCAUCAGCAAUUAGUUGCGCUGCUGAAGCCCAUGGGUGCUGGGCGUCCCAAGGUGAAGGGGGCCUGGUCCUGAUCCCGGACAGGGCGCAGUAA